UACCUCAAAUCAAACCCUCAUAAAUUCCCAAAAAAAAAUAAAAAUAAAUAAAUAACAAUGUCUCACAAUUCUCGGCAGUCCUUAGACUCAUGCACUCUCCAGCUCCAUUCAUGGAGACCUUUUCUCGAUUCCGAUCCCACCACCAGCUAUAAACCCCACGCCUCUUCCCCCACUCUCACUAAACGCCCUUGCCUUUCUGAUCGCUCCACUUCUUUCCCUUCCAACGUCGAUUCCAUCGACCUUUCCAAGCUCACUCUCCUUGAAGAUGACCAUAACAACACCAACAAUAAACCCAUCCCCGCUGUUACCAGCAGACCCUACAAGCGAGGCACCUUACGCCUUAUCCAGCGCAAGAGGCGGCGGAGAGGAUCCCGUUCUGUGUCCGGCCGGAGCUCCGAUAGAAGUGGGACCCGGCGGUGCUGCUCGGUUGGCGCGGCGUCUGCGGCUCAUGCGACUUGCUCGGAUUUCCAUGUGGCGGUGGGGACGGACUCGAGUGGGGAGCUGUUUGUGAAUGGGGACGCGAAUUGGGCGUCGGAUGUCAGUCAAGCAAAGAAUUCGGUAAAAGGAAGGGAGGAGAAAGAGAAUUUGUUGGGAGUGGGUAAUGUUAUUGGGAAUUUGGAUAGUGAGUCUGGAUAUGGGAGUGAGCCUGGGUAUAGAGGGGAUGCUGAGGUUGGUUACGGAGAUGAGGUUGAUGAGGAAGAGGAUGAUGCCAGGUUGUUGUUUUGGGGACACCACUUUCAAGAUUCUAAGAUGGAAAUGGUUGGAGAGAACACAUUUGAUUCAAAAACCCAUCACAGAUGUCGUCGCAAGAAGCAUGAUUGUAGUAGAAUGGUUGAUCCUGUGAGAUAACUCUCCCGGUUGUUGGUAAAUAGGAGGAGGAAGCGACCUUCUUUUACUUGAGAAGAUACAUUUAUGUCUUGCAGCCCUCUGCUUUCAAUUCCUCCUCAAUUUUGUGACAUGUUUUAGAGUCUCAUUUCUGCUGCUGAGGUUGGAUUUUCUCCUUAUUCUGUUGCCUUCAUGCACCUGCUCUGUGAUGAUCAAUCCACAAACUUGCUGGUUUAUAUGUCAGCGACAUGUCCAAGUAGUGCAUUUGCUUAUUUCUUGGAUGUGGCAUUGCAUUCAAACCAUUCUUAUCAAGGAAAGAACUGAAAGAUACAGGAGGUAUUACAUGAGCCAGAUUAUUCCAGGCCUUAUUUGCUGAAAUUCCCAAGUCACAAACAGUCUACUCAAAUGCACUUUUUUUGGAACAACCAACCUGGUGUUGCUGCCUUCGAGUAGUUUCUACUUGGAUUUUUUUAUUUCAUAAAAUGCCAUUACGAGCAGGAAACUCAAAGACUUCAAAGCGGCUUCUCAUCCUUUAUUUAUGAACAGAAGUCAUUCCCUGCAACAGAAGUCAUGCUUGUGUAUCGGAAACCUUUCAACCAGAAUGUUGCCAAGAGAAAUUAAAAAAUAUUGUGAAUUACUGAUGCUGAACAAUUUAGCCUCCGAGUUCCAGGAGAGCUCCUACUUGACCGUUGUUACGUUGUGAUUGUGGUGGGACUCUCAGAAUCACAAUUACAGUCUUUAACCAAAAAAAAGUGACUCAGUGAGUUUUGUAUUGCUGUAGCUUUUGUAAUCGUGGAUUAAAAAAAAUUGGUUUUUUUUAAA